AUGAAAUAGAAUUUAGUUUAGAUCUCUUCUCCUUCCUAGGCUGGUUCUCUGAAUCAGAUUUCUCUAUUUUUCAAGGGAUUACUAUCAAAUUAUCUAUCUAACCUUGUUAUGUACAUCUAGGUACAUAACAAUUGGUAUCAGAGUCGUUCGAUCCAUGGGGAUAUUUGGUAUCUAUUUAGGGAGAAAUUUCAACUCUAUAACCAUUUACUUGAUCUGAAGAGAAGAUAUCAAAAUAUACUUAACGAUGUACCUUCACCCAUUCGAAAUUAUCAUCUUUCACAAACAUAAUAUCUCAUCAACUUCACCAAGCAGAGGUGGGAAUCAAUUUACAUACCACCAUUAGCAGACCAAUUCGUUCAUGGAGUUGUGAAUACGAAAAUGGUAGAAGUGAAAGAUUAAUUUGAUGAUUUAAAAUCAACGAUGCUUACUAAAGAAGUUUUUUAUUCGAUAAUGGAGUCGUAUUUUGGUAAGCAAAACUGCAGUGGGGAAGAUCCAGUAGGAGAUUCAAAUAUUAUUUCAAAGUCAUCGGAUGAAGACUAAAUCAAUUGGAAUUGGCGACCUAAUUUCUACUUCUCUUGCUCAACCUUUUGAUUAUGAAGACUUUGGCGUUGUUACAUAGGAAGAAGCAGAUUCAAUUCCUACUUAUGUUCAACUAGAUUCUUCUUCUCAAGUCAUCGAUAAGCCUGAAUCUCAGAAAAUUAACUCAACUUCUGCUGGCGCUGUUACAGACAAGGAUGGUUCAUCUGAUUGUGUGAAUUUUCCACUUAAUGAAACCGCAAAGACAUAUAUUAAGGACUUCACCUGGAUAAAUCAUAUCAAAAUUGAGUGGUAAGGUUUAAAAAGGCACAUAAAUGGUAUGCUCACGUGCUGGAUAUGAUGGGAGCAGAAUUUUUUUCUUACAGCUCAAUCGUGAGUUGCUUAAGGUGAGUUACAAAUUGAUAUGUGAUGAUCAUUCCAUACUGGCCUUUGAUUCUGUGCGUAGAGUUUUUGAUCGCGUAAAGAAGUGUAAUUGGUCCAGAAUAUUGGCAAAUUACAGUGGCAUUUUUUUAAAUGCACUUUUUUUCAAACUUGAGUACCCAUUGAAGCUGUUGUGUGAGAGAUCGAUUACAUAUUUAUGGGUGAAAGCGGUUUAGACUGGUGUUAUUAACAAGUUAUGGUGUACGAGGUUGCGGGGUUCGGUUAUAUGGUCUAGGUUGAUACUUCAAGUGAUAAGUAUUCCUGAAUCUUAUACUGCGAGGGAAAUACUUGAUCGACUAUCUCUUAGCAGUAGAUGCAGUUUUAGUGGUUCUCUAAUCUUGCAGUUGGGAGGUGGUUCACAAAAAUCUUUGAAUGUCUGUGUUGUUGCACAGAAAUAUGGUCGUGAGUCACGGAUUCUCUCAAGGAGACUUACCUGUAAGUUUAUGUUUCUUUCACUUCGUGCACGCAAGCUGUGUGAUGUGUCUUUGCAGCGGGGAAUCGGAUUAUGCUUCCUUCGUCUUGGUUUGUGGUGUAUAGAAAGUGGUGAUGCUUUAAGUUGGAAUUUUACUGGGCUACCAGAAGGACCUAGCUCUCCAUUUUAUAGUGGUAAUGAAUAUUGUUCUGGUUGGGAAGAGUUUCUGGUGGAAGUGGCGAAACUGAAAGUGCUGCUUGUUGUGAUUCAUGGGGGUUUAUGCUUCUACGGAUACUUGAGGUGGAAAUUUAGAUUAGUUCCACCUGGUUUAUGGAGUAUGGAAGUGUUAAAAUGCCAGUUCAAUGGGUUGUCCCUAUUUACAUGAGCAGUGGUGAAGAUUAUACUCUCGACCAGGGUUUCCCAAAUGCUUCCGUAGUUCUAACUUGUGAAUGGUGGAGGGAGAGUCCAUAUGCACAUGGAGGUGAGACUUCUUCCAUGAUUGAUUUUGUGUCCUUGUGUUAUACUCAACGCAUAUCAAGGUGCUUCUAUCAACUUUUGUCGCGAGUGUGUCCACCACCAAUGGGUUGUACCCAGUUUGAGUUUUUUAAGAGGGGUAAGGAAAUUUGAUGCAAAUUGUGGUACUAAUCUCCAUUAUGUACUGAUGAGCAUCCCCAGUAAGGUUGGAGAUGUUAAAGUAUUCCACCUUGUGCUGAGGCUCCAAACUGAAGUUUUACAGGUGCACAUGUCUGUGUUGAUCAGUACUGCAGUUGUGGUGCAGCUACAUGAAGCUUGCUGUUGUAAUAUUGACGCGAUAAGUAGGAGGAUGUGGGGAAUGCUUAGAAAUUCUAGUGUUGAAGUCAUUGAUGAACACACUGGAACCAGUGACCAUAUUAUGGUCUUCAGAACAGUUGCUAAGAGUGCAUACCAUGCAGCAAUUGUGCAGGUGAUAGAGUCGCUUGUUUUUUUUUGGUAAAUGGCACAAGAAAGUCAAGUUCAAGGGCAGAUGUGACAGUUUCUUGUUGGGCUUGGGAUUGGAGUGUGUGAGUAUUGGGCUUCUCAUGUGUUUAGAAAGAUCCACCACUACUAUGUCAUUUACCGGUAUUGGAGGGGGUUCUCGUCUACAUACCCCAAUCCUUGCUACUUCUGCAUUGCUCCUGCAGUUGUCACAAGUGGCUACCUAUCUCACAAAGUUAAUUUUUGCGCCUCUCAAGGAUGCUUUCAAGGAGAGUGGAAUGUCAUGUACCGGUAUUGGAGGGGGUGCCUAUAUCAUAAUCUAGUUGGUUAUUAGUUUAGUUAUUAGUAGUACUUUUAGAUUUUAUCAAUUGUAAGGGUGCUUAUAACACUUGUGGUCUUGACCUAGCUAUAUAAGGCUAGGGAAUCUGUAUAGGAGAGAUUAUCCAAUUUAUGAAUUAAUGAAAUAGAAUUUAGU